GAUGACCGCUGGCGGCGUGCCUAAUAAAUGCAAGUCGAGCGAACAGACGAGGAGCUUGCUCCUCUUACGUUAGCGGCGGACGGGUGAGUAACACGUGGCUAACCUACCUAUAAGACUGGGAUAACUUCGGGAAACCGGAGCCAAUACCGGAUAAUAUAUUGAACCGCAUGGUUCAAUAGUGAAAGACGGUUUUGCUGUCACUUAUAGAUGGAUCCGCGCCGCAUUAGCUAGUUGGUAAGGUAACGGCUUACCAAGGCAACGAUGCGUAGCCGACCUGAGAGGGUGAUCGGCCACACUGGAACUGAGACACGGUCCAGACUCCUACGGGAGGCAGCAGUAUGGAAUCUUCGGCAAUGAGCGAAAUCCUGACGGAGCAACGCCGCUUGAGUGAUGAAGGUCUAGGGAUCGUAAAACACUGUUAUUAGGGAAGAACAAAGAUGUAAGUAACUAUGCACGUCUUGACGGUACCUAAUCAGAAAGGCACGGCUAACUACGUG
rnacentral:rRNA from 1 species